GGAGCCAAAUCAGGAAGGACUGUAAGGUGGAUGCCUGAUGAUUUCCCAUAAAAACUCUUGCAAGAUGUCCCUUGUUUAAUGAGAGGAAUGAAUGGAAGGAAAAUUUUCAUG